CAGUAGCCGCGGGAAUACGGAGGGGGCUAGCGUUGUUCGGAAUUACUGGGCGUAAAGCGCACGUAGGCGGCUUUGUAAGUUAGAGGUGAAAGCCCGGAGCUCAACUCCGGAAUUGCCUUUAAGACUGCAGAGCUAGCAGGUGAGAGAGGUGAGUGGAAUUCCGAGUGUAGAGGUGAAAUUCGUAGAUAUUCGGAAGAACACCAGUGGCGAAGGCGGCUCACUGGCUCAUACUGGACGCUGAGGUGCGAAAGCGUGGGGAGCAAACAGGAUUAGAUACCCCCGUAGUCCCUGUCUCUUAUAA
rnacentral:rRNA from 1 species